rnacentral:misc_RNA from 1 species
UACUACAUCCGGUUUGUCAUUCGGUGUCAUGGCUGACGUGUGCUGAGGGAAUGUUUACUGUGUUGUAACAGUCGUAUGUACAUUGCUUAGGUCCAGCACAAUGUCUUGCCAGUUGACAGUUUUAUCAAGAUUUCAUGACAUUGUAGCCGUAAGACGUUUUUUAUUUCCUCAUCUUAAAGACAGCUCUCCGUUACCUUCUGGUGCAAGUGAUGCAGAGGGUGAAGAUGAGUGGGCACAAGACUGGGGCUGGGGUUCAGAUAACCCAGGCCCCAAUAUUCAGAGUAACAAUGCCAGUGUAGAGGUGGUGGAUGAAGGUGUUCAUAAGUGGUUACAGAGUAGCAUUCUCUCCCUUUCUCCAAACAAUGACAUAAUUGCCAUUGCUAAUGAAGAUCGUAUUUGUGUUCUCACACAAAAAUGGGAUCCCCAAAAUAAAGGGGAGGAACUAGAUACACUUCUGACAACAGUGUGGCAAGGCAAUGUCAGACAAGAAGAUGGAGAGUCUAUUACAGAUGUUAUGUGUCUCCCGCUAGCUUCCCACAAAAGAAGUACGCAGGGAGCUCCAGACUGGACAUGUGUCAUUAUUGGGAUGUCAUCAGGAUAUGUCAGGAUGUACACUGAGACAGGUGUGUUGCUGCUGUCACAGCUGUUGCACAUAGAACCAGUACAAAAACUGAAGUGCCGUACAUAUGAACCACCACGUUUUCUAGGCAUGGCAGAAAAGCAUGAAGAGUUGAUUAUUCUCUACAAGAAAGCAGUGGUGUCCAUCGAUGGCUUUAGUCUCAUUCAGUCUCUGAGGGCAUGCCGGAACCAGGUGGCCAGAGCUACAGCCAGCGGAUCUGAAAGCUUUGUUCAACCACCUCCCUUGGCCUACAAGAAAUGGGCACUUAAUGACCAGGAAACAAUCACAGAUCUCGUCACUUGUGGUGUAGUGAGCUCCAAUCCCUUUGACCAGAUGAAGAAUGCUUCCAUGCAAGGAGGAUUUAACACCAUUGUAAAGACAUCGCCUCCUGCAGCCACAGUCUUCCUAACAUCUGGCAUGGGGCCAUAUGUUGGAUUUUUUUAUGCUGUUGAGGGAACAAUGCAGCCAAUUCUGUCAGAGGUUGCCAUGGCAAUGGCACACAAGAUUAAGUCGGCACUUAUGUCUGCUGCUAGUGGAUGGCUGGGGUUUGGUGGAUGGCAGAAAGAAGAUGCAAAAGAAAAACCACCAAAGAUUGAGCCAGCUGCACCUCUUCCAUUACGCUUUGGGUUGCCAGACAAACGAAGAAUGGGACACAGCAUAGUGCUGUCCCCUUGUAAUACGUAUAUGGCAACCACCGACAGCUUCGGUCGCGUUAUCCUUGUUGACAUUCAGCAUGGUAUUGCUGUGCGGAUGUGGAAAGGAUACCGGGAUGCUCAGAUAGGCUGGGUUCAAAUCAAAGAAGAUGGUGGUAAGGGAGACCACUCUCGAGUGGCACAGUUUCUCAUUAUUUAUGCACCACGGCGUGGUAUUCUGGAAGUGUGGACUGCUGUCCAUGGCCCUCGUGUGGCAGCGUUCAAUGUCAGCAAGCACUGUGUCCUGGUCUGUCCUUCCCAUGGCAUGAUGGGAUUGAACAAUGUCACAUAUCAUACAGUCAAGCCUCAGAUGUUCCACUGUGCUCUGGUGGAUCCCGAAGGCUGCAUUAAGACUUUAGACAUACCUUUCCAUCUUGCUCUCAGUGAUAAGAGCAGCAAGAGAGCACGAGACUUGCACUUACUGAAGAAACUUAAAUCCAUCUUGAAGGAAGCCAACUGUGAAACAGAAAAUCUGAAAGCUGCUGUUAGAGAGACCUUCUUGGACAUCAGAAUAGCCAGUAUCAGCCAUCAGGCCCUCGAGAAGAUUCUGAGCACUCGCUACUUGUCUGUCAGCUUCAUGCAAGAGAUUGUGCAGGCUGUUACUGCCCGACUGGCAGCAAGAGGUGAGGAAAGCCUAGACAUUGACAGUCGCAUGCUUUUGCGAUUUGCCAGCACCCAGGCAGCGCUGUUGGAUAUGUAUGCAUCCAUUGUGAUGCUCUCAUCCCAGGGUGUUGCCCAACAAGCAGAAAUAUUCGAUGCAGAGACAUUGGAAGAGGUACUUGAUCUUCAAGAGAAAGAAGCAGCCAAUGUUGCUACAAGGGUGAAAGAAUUUGAAACGGCACGGAUCAGCUGUGGUUUGCGUGUAAGGUUUACACAUACACAGCUGCCGCCAACCUCUUUCUUGCACUGUUUCUCAAGUAGGGCUCAUGCCAGUGACACUGACAAGACUAUCACAACCAUCUCUAUCAGCAAAGAGGUCUCGGAAGAACGCAGGCAAGCUUUAGCACAUCUGCUGUUCUAUGGAUGUUUGAAGGGGGCCUGCAGCGCUCAAGAUAUUGGUCUUGUGCUUCAGCAGAGCAGUCUUGCACCAGAACAGUUGCUAAACCUGCUGUUGCUUCACUGGCUUUCUAGUGAUGAACAUUCACUGUCUGCGCUGCCCUGUCUUCGUGCCCUAGUCAGCUCUAUUACUGCAAUGACAGACAUGAUGGAAGUGCUGGUAGACCAUAACACUGUAUCUCCAUGGUGGCAGCGUGUGCGUGAUGCUUGCAGUCAGUGUGAGAACAGCUGCCCUGCAUACCUUGCCGCACUCACUUGUCGUAAGGUUGCAGCUAAUCUCAUUGGUCGUCAGACACAAGCAAAAGACCCUGAUGCUGAUGUUUCAUCAGACAAAGAAGAGGAGGAGCAAGGUGUGAAAGAUAUGAAUACCUCGGCUGAAAGCUGGGAGUCACUGGCUGUAGAUCUAGAGUUAUGGGACCUUUUAGUGUUGCAGCUAGAAGACACACUUGCUCUCAACACCAUGCUUCACAUGAACAUUCCAGCAAGUGAGAAGGAUGGUGACAUUGGAGGCAUGCCAGCUGAUCCAAUCAAACUUUCUGUUUCAAAACUCCUAGAAGGAGGAAGAGGGUCCAUAUCUGAGCUAGUUGCUCGCUUUGUGGCCAGCCAGAACCUUGGCCCUCACGCCCUCUACAACUUCCGUCGACAAGUCAGUGGGGAAAGUCAUGUUCUGCAAAGCCAUGGUGUGGAAGAAGACCUAGAAGACAAUGCAGCAGAGAAAAUGACUUCUCUCAAAAGAUUUAAGAGUCAUCUGGAUGCACUACGCUUACGUUUUCCCCAUAGCCUUGAAAAUGACAUCCUCAUUACAAACUGCUGCUGGGAGUAUGUUGUGCUAUGGAACAAAGAUCCAGAUGUUGUGAAACACCUGCAGAUGUCUGUGGAAUAUCUCAAACUUGUUCAGAAUGCUGUACUUCGGCAAGGAGUGUCCAGUAUGCUGUGGCACAUGUUUAUUCUCAAAAGAAUGUCGGCCAUUGCUAAUUUGAUGGAAAAGGUGGGCAAGUCGCCAAAGGACAGACUGUGUAGAAAAGAAGCAGGAAUGAGUGAACAGACCAUGGAGACUUUUGUGGGCAUCGUCGUGGAGCUUUUGGAUGUCAUCAUGGAUGUUGUCGGAAAUCAGGCCAACUGCGAAGCCAAUGAGGUACCAGUUUUCAACAUAGAAACCAUCUGGCAAGGAGCCCAUGGCCCUGCGUCCUUAGCUGAGCUUGCUGUGGAUGCCAAGCCUACGAACUAUGGCUUGGUCCGCCUGCACUGGCACCUUGCUACGCUCAUGCAUGCCAUCCUGAUAUUUAAAAUGAAAAGUGUGAAGGUUUUGUCCCUUUUUGACAGAAAGGGCCAUGCUGCUUUAUUCAAGGACUUGCACUCUCAUCCACUUUUACCUAAUCAGAAGGUGGAAGAGUCACUUGCUCUUGCCCGUAGAACAGUUUUAGCAGAGAUCAUCACAUAUGCUGUCAGUACACUGGAUCCUCCUCAGCCUUCAGUGGUAGAACCCUCUCUGGCCUCUUCACCACCAUCCAGGCGACAAAGGGCACAGCACCCAUUAGCAUUCCGCUGGCCACAGAUAGUGCUAACAUUAGCACGGGACUUUGGGCUUGACAUGGACUUCAUGAAGCGGCAGCAUGUGUGUGAACUGUAUUCUCAGGGUCAUGACAAACUUGCAGAGGAGGUACUGACCACAGUCAAUGAACAUGACCUAAUGGGAUCCCAGCUUUUGGUGUUGGCAGGACGCCGCCUGGCAUAUCGCUUGAUCUAUGAAAACCCGCGAGCCACACUUCACCUGUUCUCCAUCAUCACCCCAAACAUUUCUAGCUGGCUACGAUCACUAGAUGUGGAUCAGCUAGCAUAUAAAGAUGCCCCAGUCACUGACACAGCUGUCCUCAUCAACCGAGCAGCUAGCAAACUGGCUGAGGGAUCUGUGGAGCACGAUCGUGCCCUUGGCUUGAUUGACCUGGUUGAGGCUAUGUCCUGAAGAGGCCUAACAAUGGACAGUUGCAUGAAGAGCUUGCACCAUGAUGACACACUGGCUUGUCAGGAGAGACUAUAGGAAUGUUCACAGCUCGUUCCAGGAGGGCUAACUCUGUAAAGUUGAGAUGAACUUGCCUGAUGGUAGUUAUUGUUCUGGGGUGCAAUUGUGGUUUGUGCAGAUGAUAUUCGAUUUGUUGCCUGUUUAUCAUACCAGCUUCAGUUUACAGCAGAGGUCAUGGCCUAUGGAGGUGUUUGUGCUGCACUUUCAAAAAUAUUGGGCAUAGUUAGCAGUAUUUAAUGAGGUUUAAAACUGCUAGUUGAGAAAUGUGCUAAAAGCAGGCAUCAAGAGAGAAUAGACAUUUAAAACAGGCAUCGGUGUACCUUACUUGUGAUGAUUUUUCCUCUCUGCCUUCAGUGGCAGUCAUUUUAAGUCACUUCCUAUUGCUUUUUUAUUCCAUGAAAAGUAGCUGUUCAACAACCUAUUGUUGCAUACUUACAAACAGGCCAUUGUCAAUUUUAGAAUCACUUGAUGUUGUCUUUGUUUCAAAAUAACUUUUUAUGUUUUUACCACAUCUUAGAUUCGAUCAACUGAGAUUUUUGAAAUAGUUGGAUAUAAAACAGUUGGCCGACAGAAAAAGCCGUAAAACUUUUAAAAUCAUUUAAUGAAGUAUGGUUUGCAUUUUAAACCUUGUUUUAUUUUUGUGUCACCUGAUGUUGUUUCAAACAGAUGUUGAAGAUGUUUGGUGAGAAGGUGACUUUUUUUUUCCUUUUAAUGCCAUAUGUCUACCACAAAGCGAGUCAGAAUGAGUGUGUGGUGGGUAUGAGUGUGUGCUGAAUGAGUAUGGGAAACUUGCUAAAAGAAAUCAAUUUACAGGAUCUCCUUGUGUACUUGCAUUAAAGCCCACAGCCUUUGUGACAGUUGCCACAAAUGUUGAAGUGUCGAUGUGAAAACCA